AUUAGCCAGCACCAGGAUGCAAAGAUCUGUUUAUCACUUCUCUGGAGGUUUGCAGGAAAUCCACGUGAACUACAACACACAUUCCCAUUUGUUUUUCCCUUCCCCAGAAGGACAGGAGGAGAAAAAAGAACAAACCUUUUCCAGACUGAGCAGGCCUCGCUCUGCACCUGGCAGCCUGUUAUUUUCUAGCUCUUGCAAUACUGGGGAUGAUAUGGAGGGGGCCCUAAUAUUCCACGGUACUAACACCACUGGUCUGUGGUGGGGUGUCCUGAGUGUAACAGUGAGGAUUAUCCAGGGGUCCUGAGAGUAACAGUGAGGAUUAUCCAGGGGUCCUGAGUGUAACAGUGAGGAUUAUCCGGGGGUCCUGAGAGUAACAGUGAGGAUUAUCCAGGGGUCCUGAGUGUAACAGUGAGGAUUAUCCGGGGGUCCUGAGAGUAACAGUGAGGAUUAUCCAGGGGUCCUGAGUGUAACAGUGAGGAUUAUCCGGGGGUCCUGAGAGUAACAGUGAGGAUUAUCCAGGGGUCCUGAGUGUAACAGGAUUAUCCAGGGGUCCUGAGUGUAACAGUGAGGAUUAUCCAGGGGUCCUGAGUGUAACAGUGAGGAUUAUCCAGGGAGGGUCCUGAAUGUAACAGUGAGGAUUAUCCAUGGGGGGGUCCUGAGUGUAACAGUGAGGAUUAUCCAGGGGGGGUCCUGAGUAUAACAGUGAGGAUUAUCCAGGGGGCCCUGAGUGUAACAGUGAGGAUUAUCCAGGGGUCCUGAGUGUAACAGUGAGGAUUAUCCAGGGAGGGUCCUGAGAGUAACAGUGAGGAUUAUCCAGGGGGGGGUCCUGAGUAUAACAGUGAGGAUUAUCCAGGGGGCCCUGAGUGUAACAGUGAGGAUUAUCCAGGGGUCCUGAGUGUAACAGUGAGGAUUAUCCAGGGGGUCCUGAAUGUAACAGUGAGGAUUAUCCAUGGGGGGGUCCUGAGUGUAACAGUGAGGAUUAUCCAGGGGGGGUCCUGAGUUAACAGUGAGGAUUAUCCAGGGGGCCCUGAGUGUAACAGUGAGGAUUAUCUGGGGGGGGGCCCUGAGAGUAACAGUGAGGAUUAUCCAGGGGGGGGUCCUGAGUAUAACAGUGAGGAUUAUCCAGGGGGGCCCUGAGAGUAACAGUGAGGAUUAUCCAUGGGGGGGGCGUGAGUGUAACAGUGAGGAUUAUCCAGGGGGGGGGUCCUGAGUAUAACAGUGAGGAUUAUCCAGGGGGGCCCUGAGAGUAACAGUGAGGAUUAUCCAGGGGGGUCCUGAGAGUAACAGUGAGGAUUAUCCAGGGGGGUCCUGAGAGUAACAGUGAGGAUUAUCCGGGGGGGCCCUGAGAGUAACAGUGAGGAUUAUCCAGGGGGUCCUGAGAGUAACAGUGAGGAUUAUCCAGGGGGGCCCUGAGAGUAACAGUGAGGAUUAUCCAGGGGUCCUGAGAGUAACAGUGAGGAUUAUCCAGGGGUCCUGAGAGUAACAGUGAGGAUUAUCCGGGGGGGUCCUGAGUGUAACAGUGAGGAUUAUCCAGGGGGGCCCUGAGAGUAACAGUGAGGAUUAUCCAGGUGGGGCCCUGAGUGUAACAGUGAGGAUUAUCCAGGGGGGCCCUGAGUGUAACAGUGAGGAUUAUCCAGGGGGGGCCUGAGUGUAACAGUGAGGAUUAUCCAGGGGGGCACUGAGUGUAACAGUGAGGAUUAUCUGGGGGGGGGUGUCCUGAGUGUAACAGUGAGGAUUAUCCAGGGGGUCCUGAGUGUAACAGUGAGGAUUAUUUGGGGGGGGGUGUCCUGAGUGUAACAGUGAGGAUUAUCCAGGUGUCCUGAGUGUAACAGUGGAUUUAGGGUCUGAAGUAACAGUGAGGAUUAUCCAGGGGUCCUGAGUGUAACAGUGAGGAUUAUCCGGGGGUCCUGAGAGUAACAGUGAGGAUUAUCCAGGGGGUCGGAUUAUCCAGGGGUCCUGAGUGUAACAGUGAGGAUUAUCCAGGGGUCCUGAGUGUAACAGGAUUAUCCAGGGUUCCUGAGUGUAACAGUGAGGAUUAUCCAGGGGUCCUGAGUGUAACAGUGAGGAUUAUCCAGGGAGGGUCCUGAAUGUAACAGUGAGGAUUAUCCAGGGGUCCUGAGUGUAACAGUGAGGAUUAUCCGGGGGCGGGGGUCCUGUGUCCAAUCACAAGCCAGUUUCUGAGAGGUGGGCAGCGGGAGUUCUCAUGCACACAGAGCAGAGGCCCCGUGAGAACAGCGCAGAGAGGGAGGUAAAGACACCAGCCCGGAAGGCUGCAGUGAGCGGACACAAGCCCUGGAAGCCAGAGCCCCCAGAGGCUGGGAGGGGCAGGAAGGGGCCUCCCAGGAGCCUCUGAAGGGGGUGCAGCCCUGCCCACACCUUGAUGCUGGACUUCUGGCCUCCAGACUAUGGCAGAAUACAUUCCUGGGAAUUUUUUUUUUUUUUUUUUUUGAGACAGCAUCUCACUCUGCUGCCCGGACUGGAGUGCAGUGGCAGGAUCACAGCUCACUGCAGCCUCAACCUCCUGGGCUCAAAUGAUCCUCCCAUCUCAGCCUCCUGCAUAGCUGGGACCACAUGCACGUGCUACCCUACCUGGCUAAUUUUGUUCUUUUGUUUUCCAUUUUGGUAGAGAUGGAGUGUCACUAUGUUGCCCAGGCUGGUCUCAAACUCCUGGGUUCAAGUGAUCCUCCCACCUCAGCCUCCCAAAGUGCUGGGAUUUCAGGUGUGAGCUACCAUGCCUGGCCUACAAUGUCAAUUUUAUCCCUCCUUUGAAAAGUCACAAGGCAUGUUCAUUAACAAACUUAACCGACCAAGAGACCCUCAUUCUCCGAACACUCAGAGUUGGGGCAGCUUUGACAAGGCCCCAAGGAUCACACCUCCUGGUGUUUGGGCCCCUGGGUGGCCCCCGCCCAGUAAGUGUGGGCUGGACCUGGCGACUUGCUCCUAAUGAAUGGAACAUGGCACAGGUGAGGGGGCUCACUUCCGGGGUCGGUUACAGACUGCGGUUUCCGUCACGUGUGCCCUCUCUUGCCCUCCCCCGUGCCCUGGCUUGCCUGAUAGCACAGGAUCCCUGUGGUGGGCUCAGUGUGGCUUCCAGCCAGCAUCCGGCAAGGAACUGAGGCCUCUGUCCCACAGCCCAAAGGAACUGAGUCCCCCCAGCAACCACGGGAGAAGGCUUGGGAGUGGACCCUUCUCCAGCCAGCCUGCAGCUGGCGAAGGCUGAUACCCAGGAGGCCUGGCUAAGCUGCAUCCGGAUCCCUGACCCACACACGGUAGGAUAAUAAACGGCGUCUGGAGCCACAAAGUUUUGGGGCAAUUUUUUUUAUUUUUGAGUCAGGGUCUUUCACUGUCACCCAGGCUGACAUGCAGUGGCACAAUCACAGCUCACUGUAGCCUCCAUCUCCCCUGGCUCAGGUGAUCCUCCCGCCCCAGUCUCCCAAGUAACUGGGACUACAGGAGUGCACCAGCACACCUGGAUAACUUUUGUAUCUUUUGUAGAGACAGGGUUUUGCUAUGUUGCCCAGGCUGGUCUUGAACUCCUGGGCUCAAGUAAUCCUCCCGCCUCAGCCUCCUGAAAUGCUAGGAUUACAGGUGUGAGCCCCACGCCUGGCCUUGGGGCGAUCUGUUCGGCAGCCAGAGGUAACCAGCAAUCCCAGCACCGCGCUCUCCACAUGCUCUCUUCAAACCACUGUCCUGU
ensembl:lncRNA